UGCAGUCGAGCGGANGNNGAAGAAGCUUACUUCUUCUGAUUUUAGNNNNNNNNNUNNNGAGUAACACGUGGGCAACCUACCUUGUAGAUNGNNNNAACUCCGGGAAACCGGGGCUAAUACCGAAUAAUCCAUUUUGCUUCAUGGCGAAAUGUUAAAAGGCGGCGAUCUCGCUGUCACUGCAAGAUGGGCCCGCGGCGCAUUAGCUAGUUGGUAAGGUAACGGCUUACCAAGGCGACGAUGCGUAGCCGACCUGAGAGGGUGAUCGGCCACACUGGGACUGAGACACGGCCCAGACUCCUACGGGAGGCAGCAGUAGGGAAUCUUCCACAAUGGACGAAAGUCUGAUGGAGCAACGCCGCGUGAGUGAAGAAGGUUUUCGGAUCGUAAAACUCUGUUGUAAGGGAAGAACACGUACGAGAGUAACUGCUCGUACCUUGACGGUACCUUAUUAGAAAGCCACGGCUAACUACGUGCCAGCAGCCGCGGUANUACGUAGGUGGCAAGCGUUGUCCGGAAUUAUUGGGCGUAAAGCGCGCGCAGGCGGUCCUUUAAGUCUGAUGUGAAAGCCCACGGCUCNACCNGUGGNNGGUCAUUGGNAANCUGGGGGACUUGAGUACAGAAGAGGAAAGCGGAAUUCCNAGUGUAGCGGNGAAAUGCGUANANAUUU
rnacentral:rRNA from 1 species